GACAGAGGUGCCAGGCGUUAGGCGGAAUCACUGGGCUUAAAGCGUGUGUAGGCGGGUCGUUAAGUGUCUUGUGAAAUCCCCCGGCUCAACCGGGGAAUGGCUGGGCAUACUGGCGAUCUUGAGCAGUCUAGGGGCAGAUGGAACAGACGGUGGAGCGGUGAAAUGCGUAGAUAUCGGGAGGAACACCUGUGGCGAAAGCGGCUCACUGGACCGCAACUGACGCUGAGGCGCGAAAGCUAGGGGAGCAAACAGG
rnacentral:rRNA from 1 species